rnacentral:rRNA from 1 species
CCUACGGGUGGCAGCAGUGAGGAAUCUUGGUCAAUGGGCUUACGCCUGAACCAGCCAAGUCGCGUGAGGGAAGACUGCCCUAUGGGUUGUAAACCUCUUUUGUCAGGGAGCAAUUUGCGCUACGUGUAGCGUUCUCGAUAGUACCUGAAUACAAAGCAUCGGCUAACUCCGUGCCAGCAGCCGCGGUAAUACGGAGGAUGCGAGCGUGAUCCGGAUGUAUUGGGUUUACAGGGUGCGUAGGCGGACUGCCAAGUCAGCGGUAAAAUCGCGGGGCUCAACCGCGCUCCGCCGUUGAAACUGGUGGUCUUGAGUGGGCGAGAAGUAUGCGGAAUGCGAGGGGUAGCGGUGAAAUGCAUAGAUAUCACGCAGAAAUCCGAUGGCGAAGGCAGCAUACCGGCGCCCAACUGACGCUGAAGCACGAAAGCGUGGGUAUCGAACAGGAUUAGAUACCCGGGUAGUC